UACGUAGGGUGCAAGCGUUGUCCGGAAUUAUUGGGCGUAAAGAGCUCGUAGGCGGUCUGUCGCGUCUGCUGUGAAAACUCAGGGCUUAACCCUGAGCUUGCAGUGGGUACGGGCAGACUAGAGUGCGGUAGGGGAGACUGGAAUUCCUGGUGUAGCGGUGAAAUGCGUAGAUAUUGGGAGGAACACCAGUGGCGAAGGCGGCUCACUGGACCGGUUCUGAACGCGUGAGG
rnacentral:rRNA from 1 species